AUGGAUUGCUUCAUGGAUAGCGUCAAAGGAGGACUCUUUUUUCGCGCCGGGAUCCGAAAAUUGCCGGAUAGAUGGGAGAUAGUUGUCGCUAGUGAUGGACAAUACUUUGAAUAAUAUAUCCCGCAUUUGAAUAGCUCAACCCGGCAUUACAUCGACUUCAAUCACAUCUCGCAAGUUCUUGGUGGAUCCCAAAAUUGACAGGAAGGCAGCCUGUUUUUUCUACACUGCGCCUUAACAAGGAUCAUCAUACCAGCUCCUAUUUUGGCACUGUUGAGAACCAAUUAUUUCCAUAGCGGCGUAAGAUAGAGAGUUUUAGAUGACAUUCCACAGUACCUUUACACUGAGUUGCUGAUAAGUUCUUGCAAUUUUUGACGUCAAAACCUUACUUGUGUUUGUUUACGGAUAUUCUUUGCCGCGCAGAGUAGAGUGACCCAAAUCGAUGUUGGGUCCUCAGAGUAUAAAUACUCUCGAGACUGGUCUACCAUAUACCAACAUAAUCGAUGUGAUUGUCAGUUUUACGAAUCGGCGAUAGCCCAGUAGCUUAAUGAGUUUACUUGGACUGGAAUCUAGAACAAGAAACAAGCAUAUAAAGGGUGAUUUUUUUAGCCACUUUCGUUUUGGCAACACUGGUUUAAACAGCUGACGCUCGUUUCGUGCUUUGUAUUACUGACGAACAUCUUCAGUUUGGUCUAUAAUUUAACCAUGAGUCACCUUACAAACGAACAAAGCUUACAAAUUA